GCCGAUCUUCGGUAGUGGCCCUCGGGACGGUAUCCGCCCGGGGGCUUCGAUCGAAGACCGGG
rfam:Catenulispora acidiphila DSM 44928, complete genome.